rnacentral:rRNA from 1 species
AUUGAACGCUGGCGGCAGGCCUAACACAUGCAAGUCGAGCGAGCGGCGGACGGGUGAGUAAUGUAUGUGGAUCUGCCUGAUGGAGGGGGAUAACUACUGGAAACGAUAGCUAAUCCCGCCUACCAUCAGAUGAACCCAUAUGGGAUUAGCUUGUAGGUGGGUUAACGGAUUACCAAGGCGACGACCCCUAGCUGGUCUGAGAGGAUGAACAGCCACACUGGGACUUAGACACGGCCCAGACGCCUACGGGAGGCAGCAGUGGGGAAUAUUGCACAAUGGGCGCAAGCCUGAUGCAGCCAUGCCGCGUGUAUGAAGAAGGCCUUCGGGUUGUAAAGUACUUUCAGGCGGGAGGCGUUACCGACAGAAGAAGCACCGGCUAACUCCGUGCCAGCAGCCGCGGUAAUUC